GUUUUCUUUCUUCUUCAAAGUCUCCUCUCCUU
rnacentral:sRNA from 1 species